GGGGCUAUAGCUCAGCUGGGAGAGCGCUACGUUCGCAAUGUAGAGGCCAGGAGUUCGAUCCUCCUUAGCUCCACCA
rnacentral:tRNA from 2 species